AUUGAACGCUGGCGGCAUGCUUUACACAUGCAAGUCGAACGGUAACAGGUUAAGCUGACGAGUGGUGAACGGGUGAGUAAUGCAUCGGAACGUGCCCGAUCGUGGGGGAUAACGCAGCGAAAGCUGCGCUAAUACCGCAUACGAUCUGAGGAUGAAAGCGGGGGACCCUAAGGCCUCGCGCGAUCGGAGCGGCCGAUGUCAGAUUAGGUAGUUGGUGGGGUAAAGGCCCAACAAGCCGACGAUCUGUAGCUGGUCUGAGAGGACGAACAGCCACACUGGGACUGAGACACGGCCCAGACUCCUACGGGAGGCAGCAGUGGGGAAUUUUGGACAAUGGACGAAAGCCUGAUCCAGCAAUGCCGCGUGAAGGAAGAAGGCCUUCGGGUUGUAAACUGCUUUUGUACGGAGCGAAAAGGUCCUUUCUAAUACAAGGGGCUCAUGACGGUACCGUAAGAAUAAGCACCGGCUAACUACGUGCCAGCCGCCGCUGUAA
rnacentral:rRNA from 1 species